UACGUAGGGUGCAAGCGUUGUUCGGAUUUACUGGGCGUAAAGGGCGCGUAGGCGGCCAGCACAAGUCAGUUGUGAAAUCUCCGAGCUUAACUCGGAAAGGUCAACUGAUACUGUGCGGCUAGAGUGCGGAAGGGGCAACUGGAAUUUUUGGUGUAGCGGUGAAAUGCGUAGAUAUCAAGAGGAACACCUGCGGCGAAGGCGGGUUGCUGGGCCGACACUGACGCUGAUGCGCGAAAGCCAGGGGAGCGAACGGG
rnacentral:rRNA from 1 species